UCGCUAUGGGAUGGCCCCGCGGCGCAUUAGCUAGUUGGUAAGGUAACGGCUUACCAAGGCAAUGAUGCAUAGCCGAGUUGAGAGACUGAUCGGCCACAUUGGGACUGAGACACGGCCCAAACUCCUACGGGAGGCAGCAGUAGGGAAUCUUCCACAAUGGACGCAAGUCUGAUGGAGCAACGCCGCGUGAGUGAAGAAGGUUUUCGGAUCGUAAAGCUCUGUUGUUGGUGAAGAAGGAUAGAGGUAGUAACUGGCCUUUAUUUGACGGUAAUCAACCAGAAAGUCACGGCUAACUACGUGCCAGCAGCCGCGGUAAUACGUAGGUGGCAAGCGUUGUCCGGAUUUAUUGGGCGUAAAGCGAGCGCAGGCGGAAGAAUAAGUCUGAUGUGAAAGCCCUCGGCUUAACCGAGGAACUGCAUCGGAAACUGUUUUUCUUGAGUGCAGAAGAGGAGAGUGGAACUCCAUGUGUAGCGGUGGAAUGCGUAGAUAU
rnacentral:rRNA from 1 species